GUUUGAUCCUGGCUCGGAUAAACGCUGGCGGCGUGCCUAACACAUGCAAGCCGAACGCCCUACGCAAGUAGGGAGUGGCGGACGGGUGAGGAACACGUGGGUAAUCUGCCCUUCGGUGAGGAAUACCGGCGAGAAAUCGCCGACAAUACCGCAUGCGUUUCACGGAAGUGAAAGAAAGUCGUAAGACGCCGAGGGAUGAGCCUGCGCCCGAUUAGUUUGUUGGUGGGGUAAAAGCCUACCAAGACUACAAUCGGUAGCUGGUCUGAGAGGACGAUCAGCCACACUGGGAUUGAGAACGGCCCAGACUCCUACGGGGGGCAGCAGUGAGGAAUUUUCGUCAAUGGGGGCAACCCUGAACGAGCAACGCCGCGUGCAGGAAGAAGGUUUUCGGAUCGUAAACUGCUUUUCUGUGGGAAGAGAACGGACGGUACCACAGGAAGAAGCCCCGGCUAACUACGUGCCAGCAGCCGCGGUAAUACGUAGGGGGCGAGCGUUGUCCGGAUUUAUUGGGCGUAAAGCGCACGCAGGCGGUUAGGUAAGUUUGGAGUGACAGUGCUCGGCUUCACUGAGCAAGGCCUCUGAAAACUGCUUGACUUGAGGACCAGAGAGGGACAUAGAAUUCCGGGUGGAGUGGUGAAAUGCGUAGAUAUCCGGAGGAAUACCAAAGGCGAAGGCAGUGUCCUGGCUGGUAACUGACGCUCAUGUGCGAAAGCUAGGGGAGCGAACAGGAUUAGAUACCCUGGUAGUCCUAGCCGUAAACGAUGACCACUAGAUGUGCGAGGUAUCGACCCCUUGCGUGUCGGAGCAAACGUUUUAAGUGGUCCGCCUGGGGAGUACGGUCGCAAGA
rnacentral:rRNA from 1 species